rnacentral:rRNA from 1 species
CAUGCAAGUCGAACGGCAGCACGGAGCUUGCUCUGGUGGCGAGUGGCGAACGGGUGAAGUAAUAUAUCGGAACGUACCCUGGAGUGGGGGAUAACGUAGCGAAAGUUACGCUAAUACCGCAUACGAUCUAAGGAUGAAAGUGGGGGAUCCCCAGACCCCAUGCUCGUGGAGCGGCCGAUAUCUGAUUAGCUAGUUGGUAGGGUAAAAGCCUACCAAGGCAUCGAUCAGUAGCUGGUCUGAGAGGACGACCAGCCACACUGGAACUGAGACACGGUCCAGACUCCUACGGGAGGCAGCAGUGGGGAAUUUUGGACAAUGGGCGAAAGCCUGAUCCAGCAAUGCCGCGUGAGUGAAGAAGGCCUUCGGGUU